GAUAAAAUUUUUAUGUUUUAAGAAAUUUAUUAUAAAUUUAUUUUACAUACAAAUUUUAGUAUGAAAAAUUAAUUAUUUAAAUAAUGAUUAUAAAUAACGUAGUAAUUAAUAUUAAAAAUUUAAGAAAUUAAGAUUUAGUAAUAUUUAAAUUAAUAACUCAUUUUGUGCCAGCAGUUGCGGUUAUACAAAAAUUAAAUUAAAUUUUAAAAGUAAAUAAUAAAUAAAUAAAUAUUUAAAAUAAAUAUUAAAUUAUUAAGUGAAAUUUUAAUUUAAUUAAAUUUUAUAAUAAAUUUAUGAUUUAAUAAAUUUAAUAAUAAACUAGGAUUAGAUACCCUAUUAUUAUAAAUUUAAUUAUAAAUACUAAAAUAGUAGAUAAAAUAUUGAAACUUAAAUAAUAUGGCGGUAUUUUAGUUCAUUUAGAGGAAUCUGUUUAAUAAUUGAUAAUACACGAGUAAAUUUACUUAAUUUAAGAUUUUAUAUAUCGUUGUUAAAAAAAUAUUUUUUUAUAAAAAUAAUAUUUAAAAAUUUUAAAUAAAAAUUAAUUCAAAUCAAGAUGUAGAAUAUAAUUAAGAAUAAAUGGAUUACAAUAAAUUAAUUUAUAUGAAUAAUUAAUUGAAAAAUUAAUUUAAAGGUGGAUUUAAAUGUAAUUUUAUUUAAUUUAAUAAAAUGAUUAAAAAUUGAAAUAUGUACAUAUUGCCCGUCACUUUCAUUUAAAAAUUGGAAUAAGUCGUAACAAAGUAGAGGUACUGGAAAGUGUUUCUAGAAUGAU
rnacentral:ncRNA from 1 species